rnacentral:misc_RNA from 1 species
UCUCCGUUGGUGAACCAGCGGAGGGAUCAUUGAAGAGUUCGACUCCUCAACCACUGUGAAUCUACCGUACCGUUGCCUCGGCGGGCGGCUCCAGGGGGAGCCUUUGAGCCCCCCUUGCCCCCCCCCGGGGGGGGGUGAGGGGGGUGCCCGCCAGGGGCCCAUCAAACACUGUUGUAUCCUGGCCUUUCUGAGUACUGUUACAAAUUAUCAAAACUUUCAACAAUGGAUCUCUUGGCUCUGGCAUCGAUGAAGAACGCAGC